UAUACGACAGCAAAAAAAUUUUAGUUUUCAGUUUUAGUCGUAUAUUGGUAUGACGUUGGCGUUGUCUUCGUUGUCAUCGUCGUCGUCCGAAGACACAUUAGUUUUCGCACUCUAACUUUAGUUUAAGUAAAUGGAUCUCAAUGAAAUUUUACCAUAAGGUUCAAUACCAAAAAAGGAAGGUUGGGAUUGAUUUUGGGGGUUAUGGUACCCACAGUUAAGGAAUUAAUGGCCAAAAAGGGGCCAAAAAUAAGCAUUUUUGUAACUUCCAGACAUAACUUGUGUGUAAGUGUAUGGAUCUCUCUGACAUUGUACCACAAGGUUCCAUAUCACAAAGGGAAUGCUGGGAUUGAUUUUGGGGGUAAUUGCCUUCAUAUUUUGGGAAUAAGGGGCCAAAAAGGAGCAAAAAACAAGCAUUUUUCUAGUUUCAUGACAAUAACUUGUGUGUAAGUGUAUGGAUCUUUAUAAAAUUGUACUACAAGGUUCCAUAUCACAAAGGGAAAGCUGGAAUUUAGUUUGGGGGUAAUUGCCAAAAACGUUUGGGAAUAAGGGGCCAAAAAGGGGCCAAAAAUAAGCAUUUUUCUAGUUUCCAGACAAUAACUUGUGUUCAAGUGUAUGGAUCUCUCUGAAAUUGUACUGCAAGGUACCAUACCACAAAGGGAAGGCUGGAAUUGAUUUUGGGAGUAAUUGCCUCAAAAAUUUAGGAAUAAGGGGCAAAAAAGGGGCAAAAAAACAAGCAAUUUUCUAGUUUCAGGACAAUAACUUGUGUGUAAGUGUAUUGAUCUUUGUGAAAUUGUACUACAAGGUUCCAUAUCACAAAGGGAAAGCUGGGAUUGAUUUUGGGGGUAAUUGCCUCCAAA